rnacentral:rRNA from 1 species
AUUGAACGCUGGCGGCAUGCCUUACACAUGCAAGUCGAACGGUAGCACGGGUGAGCGUACUUGGUGGCUAAUGGCGAACGGACGGGUAAUAAAUCGGAGGGUGACCGGCUGUGGGGGAUAGCUAGCCACAAGACGGAUUAGUAAAUCAUACGUUACAUGGAUGAAAGAAGGGGACGUUCGGUCCUCGCGCUAUAGGUUUGGCCGAUGGAGGAUUAGCUAGUUGGUGGGGUAAGGGACUACCUAGGCGACGAUCAGUAGCUGGUCUGAGAGGACGACCAGCCACACUGGAACUGAGACACGGCCCAGACUCCUACGGGAGGCAGCAGUGGGGAAUAUUGGACAAUGGGCGAAAGCCUGAUGCAGCAAUGCCGCGUGUAUGAAGAAGGCCUUCGGGUUGUAAAGUACUUUCGGCCGGGAGGAAAGCCGUAGAGUUAAUACCGUCGCUCAUUGACGGUACCGGAAGAAGAAGCACCGGCUAACUACGUG